rnacentral:tRNA from 1 species
AAGUAGCUAUUUUAACUACAAAAUCGUUGACUUCGACUCAACUACUCCCGGUGCAAGCCCGGGGCUACUUU